GAUCAUAUGAACUUGGAUAAACAUAAAAGAAGGUAAUUAGAUAGUAAGUAAAGCAAGUAAUCUAAUAAUGGAAAAAACGUGGGCCAAGCAGAAGCGGUAAUAAUCAAAGCAGAGCAAAGGCACUUACCUGACUAAUUAUCCUAAAGGCCAUCGCCAAAAAUCAUCCCAUAGCAGUCACCUAAGCGUCAAACUGUGCAUUUGAGAUGAAAACCAGCCAAUGCAAUAGUGACAAAAAGAGAGAGAAUGACACUCGGUCAUUUCCAUUUUCGACGGAAUCUCGGACACCUCUGCCUGCAAC
rnacentral:lncRNA from 1 species